rnacentral:rRNA from 1 species
AUUGAACGCUGGCGGCAGGCCUAACACAUGCAAGUCGAGCGAGCGGCGGACGGGUGAGUAAUGUAUGGGGACUGCCCGAUAGAGGGGGAUAACUACUGGAAACGGUAGCUAAUACCGCAUACUAUCGGAUAACCCAGAUGGGAUUAGCUAGUAGGUGAGGUAAAGGCUCACCUAGGCGACGAUCCCUAGCUGGGCUGGGAGGAUGAUCAGCCCCACUGGGACUGGAGCCAGGGCCAGGAUCCUACGGGGGCAGCAAUGGGGAAAAUUUCGCCAUGGGGGGAAGCCUGAUGCAAGCAUGCCGGGUGUAGGGAGGAAGCCCUAGGGUUGUAAAGUAAUUUCAGUCGGGAGGCGUUACCGAAAAAAGAAGCACCGGCUAACUCCGUGCCAGCAACCGCGGUAAUUC